AUUUGUUCUAACAGCUGAUCGCAGAGUUGAUCAUUCAUACCUUUAUAUGGAUUUUGGACCUAUGAAUAGGGACAUUCUCUUCACCCAUUUAAAUUUGAAUUUCUUCAACUUAAUGAUUCUGAAAUGGUCAGGUCCCUUCCAAUCUUGAUUAAUUCCCCUUAUCCUCGUCAAUUCUCUUAUGCCUUGUAGCAAUUCUCUUGAAUUCUACUGUUCCUAUCCUUCCAAGAUAAUUUCAACACAACCCAGAGGGAUGUUUGCAUGUUGCCAAAGAAACAACUUUGAAAAAGAAAUAUGAACAGAUACACAACCAAACAAG
rnacentral:misc_RNA from 1 species